rnacentral:rRNA from 1 species
UACGAAGGGGGCUAGCGUUGCUCGGAAUCACUGGGCGUAAAGCGCACGUAGGCGGCUUUUUAAGUCAGGGGUGAAAUCCUGGAGCUCAACUCCAGAACUGCCUUCGAUACUGGCGAUCUUGAGUCCGGAAGAGGUGAGUGGAACUCCUAGUGUAGAGGUGGAAUUCGUAGAUAUUAGGAAGAACACCAGUGGCGAAGGCGGCUCACUGGUCCGGUACGGACGCUGAGGUGCGAAAGCGUGGGGAGCAAACAGG